UUGGAGGGCAAGUCUGGUGCCAGCAGCCGCGGUAAUUCCAGCUCCAAUAGCGUAUAUUAAAGUUGUUGCAGUUAAAAAGCUCGUAGUUGAAUUUCGGGGUUAGUAGGUUGGUCAUGCCUCUGGUAUGUACUGGUCUCACUGAUUCCUCCUUCCUGAUGAGCCGUAAUGCCAUUAAUUUGGUGUUGCGGGGAAUUUGGACUGUUACUUUGAAAAAAUUAGAGUGUUUAAAGCAAGCUAACGCUUGAAUACAUUAGCAUGGAAUAAUGAAAUAGGACGUUCGAUCCUAUUUUGUUGGUUUCUAGGAUUGACGUAAUGAUUAAUAGGGAUAGUUGGGGGCAUUAGUAUUCAAUUGUCAGAGGUGAAAUUCUUGGAUUUAUUGAAGACUAACUACUGCGAAAGCAUUUGCCAAGGAUGUUUUCAUUAAUCAAGAACGAAAGUUAGGGGAUCGAAGACGAUCAGAUACCGUCGUAGUCUUAACCAUAAACUAUGCCGACUAGGGAUCGGAUGAUGUAAAUUUUUUAAUGACUCAUUCGGCGCCUUACGGGAAAC
rnacentral:rRNA from 1 species